GAACGCACCUUGCGCUCCUUGGUAUUCCGAGGAGCAUGCCUGUUUGAGUGUCAUUUAAUUCUCAAUCUCUACAAACUUGUUUUGUUAGUAGAUUGGAGGUGGGGGUUUUGUGGGUGUAUCUAUUAUAUCCACUCCCCUGAAAAACAUUAGCUGGAAUGCCUUUGCAAAACCAACUAUCAGUUAUGAUAAUUAUCUACUCUGAUGUUGUUGUGAAGGGAAUCUGCUUUCAAACCGUCGUUCCGACACUUUGAAUCCAUUUGACCUCAAAUCAGGUAGGACUACCCGCUGAACUUAAG
rnacentral:misc_RNA from 1 species